rnacentral:rRNA from 1 species
UGCGCAGGCGGACUUUUAAGUCAGUGGUGAAAUCCCGAGGCUCAACCUCGGAACUGCCAUUGAUACUGGAAGUCUUGAAUUUGGUUGAAGUGGGCGGAAUGUAGCAUGUAGCGGUGAAAUGCUUAGAUAUGCUACAGAACACCGAUCGCGAAGGCAGCUCACUAAGCCAAUAUUGACGCUCAGGCACGAAAGCGUGGGGAGCAAACAGGAUUAGAUACCAUGGUAGUCC